rnacentral:tRNA from 1 species
GCUGGGGCUCAGUGGUACAGUACUUGCCUGGCAUGUGUGAAGCACUGGGUUCGAUUCUCAGCACCGCA